CGGUAGCAGGAAGUGCUUGCACUUCGCUGACGAGUGGCGGACGGGUGAGUAAUGCUUGGGAACUUGCCUUUAGGUGGGGGAUAACAGUUGGAAACGACUGCUAAUACCGCAUAAUGUCUACGGACCAAAGGGGGCUUCGGCUCCCGCCUUGAGAGAGGCCCAAGUGAGAUUAGCUAGUUGGUGGGGUAAAGGCCUACCAAGGCAACGAUCUCUAGCUGUUCUGAGAGGAAGAUCAGCCACACUGGGACUGAGACACGGCCCAGACUCCUACGGGAGGCAGCAGUGGGGAAUAUUGCACAAUGGGGGAAACCCUGAUGCAGCCAUGCCGCGUGUGUGAAGAAGGCCUUCGGGUUGUAAAGCACUUUCAGUUGUGAGGAAAGGUUGGUAGUUAAUACCUGCCAGCUGUGACGUUAACAACAGAAGAAGCACCGGCUAACUCCGUGCCAGCAGCCGCGGUAAUACGGAGGGUGCGAGCGUUAAUCGGAAUUACUGGGCGUAAAGCGCACGCAGGCGGCUUGUUAAGCUAGAGGUGAAAGCCCCGCGCUCAACGUGGGAACUGCCUUUAGAACUGGCAGGCUAGAGUCUUGGAGAGGGGAGUGGAAUUCCAGGUGUAGCGGUGAAAUGCGUAGAUAUCUG
rnacentral:rRNA from 1 species